AUGUGGCGAAUAAAAAUAUUGCUCCAAGUAAAGUUACCAAUGAACGAAGACGAAAGACGGGAUGCCUUCCGGGGUAUCCCCAAGAUUAGGCUUUUGGCUAUUCUUGAAUAUCUUGGGGUGCCAUGGGCAUCCCCAAUCUUAGGCUCUUGCCACUCCUUAUUCCAUAGUCCAUCAAAUAUUUACCCAAAACAUGAAAACUUCACAACACAAAACUCAACAGGAAAUCUCAUAAGCUCCGUUAGUGAAAGAAAACAAAACCACCACAUAAGGUACUUAAUGAACUCAUUCUUUAUUUAUAUUGGUGUCAAGCCUACUUUAUUUCAAGUUCUCUCUGGUUCAUACCACUUAAUACUAGUCAUAGAUGCAUCAGAAUAA
rnacentral:rRNA from 1 species